rnacentral:tRNA from 1 species
CAUUGAGAAGCUAACUAUCAAGCGUUAACCUUUUAAGUUAAAGACUGGGAGUAUUAACCUCCCCUUAAUGA